GUGUGUUAUAUAUGUUGUCGGCUACGACAUACCUAAGAGACUCCCUCGCUUUAUUUGUAAAAAAGAUUGAUCUUUGAUAUUAAUAGCCAAAUCCAUCCAAGGUUAAAUUUGCCCGAGGGAGCUGAAACCUUAGUUACAGAUCUAUCAUACUGUCGUUAUUGUUAAGACUGCCUACACUAGGAGAAGGCUUUCAACUCCUAAAGGCAUGAUUAAC
rnacentral:lncRNA from 1 species